CAUGCAAGUAGAACGGAAAGGCCCUUCGGGGUACUCGAGUGGCGAACGGGUGAGUAACACGUGGGUGAUCUGCCCUGCACUUUGGGAUAAGCCUGGGAAACUGGGUCUAAUACCGAAUACACCCUGCUGGUCGCAUGGCCUGGUGGGGGAAAGCUUUUGCGGUGUGGGAUGGGCCCGCGGCCUAUCAGCUUGUUGGUGGGGUGAUGGCCUACCAAGGCGACGACGGGUAGCCGGCCUGAGAGGGUGUCCGGCCACACUGGGACUGAGAUACGGCCCAGACUCCUACGGGAGGCAGCAGUGGGGAAUAUUGCACAAUGGGCGCAAGCCUGAUGCAGCGACGCCGCGUGAGGGAUGACGGCCUUCGGGUUGUAAACCUCUUUCAGUAGGGACGAAGCGUGAGUGACGGUACCUAUAGAAGAAGCACCGGCCAACUACGUGCCAGCAGCCGCGGUAAUACGUAGGGUGCGAGCGUUGUCCGGAAUUACUGGGCGUAAAGAGCUCGUAGGUGGUUUGUCGCGUAGAGCGUGAAAACUCACA
rnacentral:rRNA from 1 species